GUCGUUGAUUUCACACUGCCGAGAAAAGCCUCUAGAUAGAAAAUAGGUGCCCGUACCGCAAACCGACACAGGUAGUCAAGAUGAGAAUUCUAAGGUGAGCGAGCGAACUCUCGUUAAGGAACUCGGCAAAAUGACCCCGUAACUUCGGGAGAAGGGGUGCUCUUUAGGGUUAACGCCCAGAAGAGCCGCAGUGAAUAGGCCCAAGCGACUGUUUAUCAAAAACACAGGUCUCUGCUAAACCGUAAGGUGAUGUAUAGGGGCUGACGCCUGCCCGGUGCUGGAAGGUUAAGAGGAGUGGUUAGCUUCUGCGAAGCUACGAAUCGAAGCCCCAGUAAACGGCGGCCGUAACUAUAACGGUCCUAAGGUAGCGAAAUUCCUUGUCGGGUAAGUUCCGACCCGCACGAAAGGCGUAACGAUUUGGGCACUGUCUCAACGAGAGACUCGGUGAAAUCAUAGUACCUGUGAAGAUGCAGGUUACCCGCGACAGGACGGAAAGACCCCGUGGAGCUUUACUGUAGCCUGAUAUUGAAAUUCGGCACAGCUUGUACAGGAUAGGUAGGAGCCUUUGAAACGUGAGCGCUAGCUUACGUGGAGGCGCUGGUGGGAUACUACCCUAGCUGUGUUGGCUUUCUAACCCGCACCACUUAUCGUGGUGGGAGACAGUGUCAGGCGGGCAGUUUGACUGGGGCGGUCGCCUCCUAAAAGGUAACGGAGGCGCUCAAAGGUUCCCUCAGAAUGGUUGGAAAUCAUUCAUAGAGUGUAAAGGCAUAAGGGAGCUUGACUGCGAGACCUACAAGUCGAGCAGGGUCGAAAGACGGACUUAGUGAUCCGGUGGUUCCGCAUGGAAGGGCCAUCGCUCAACGGAUAAAAGCUACCCCGGGGAUAACAGGCUUAUCUCCCCCAAGAGUUCACAUCGACGGGGAGGUUUGGCACCUCGAUGUCGGCUC
rnacentral:rRNA from 1 species